AUGCCUCUUCAUGGUACAGCCCCCCGAGGCAUAACCCAAGCAAGAGACACACUUCAGGAUGGACACAAGCCCAUGCGCAAAUCACUCGGAAUCGCAAGCUUCAACAGCCCAUCCAUGACCCACAAUUCACCCCCUUGGAUCCAGUCAUGGCUUCAACUUCAACACCAAAAGGUAAAAAUGGGAAAUGGAACUGGAUUCGCCUCAUCAAGGGCGCAAUGGGCAUACAGCACAGUUUCAAUGUGCCAUAGACAGAAACAGAAUCAUUGUAUUUUUAAGUUCAAGCCGUAUAAGCACCACGCUUCCCAAAAGGCCAAAACUAGUGGCUCUUUCACAAAUCCUAUCAGGUUUUCACCACCAUUUCAUAAAACCACAGCAGCAACAUACUUACUUGCUUUAAACAACAGAAGACAUGACAGAAUCCUCUCAGUGUACUCAGCUAGAUUUUGCAUACCAGGGGAGUCACAUUCAAUUAUCUCCUGCCCAAGUUGGGAGGAGGGACAUUUCCAGUUCUCCAUCAGUUAA
rnacentral:rRNA from 1 species